UUGUGCUCAGCUCAGCACUUUUUUUUCAGGGUUUGAGGGGCCAAUCUACCUAGUCAAAUGCUAUACAAAAGACCUUUUUUCUGGAAUCCACUUCCAGCAAGGGAUUAGCACCAGAUCUGAGAUUCCAUCUGUCUUGUUUACAUUCCUUGUGCGAUUUCAGAACAUCGUGUUCCCUUUCUUGUAAUUGCACAACAAAAGCACUGCCACAGGGCCCUGGAAUGUCUUUCCGCUCCAUGUCAGGAUUUCCUUCUGGCUGGCAUUCUUUGCAGACAGCUCUGGGACCUCCAGGUGGGCUGGUUCAGAGAAGAGAACUUGGGCUUUAGAGACAGACGGACAAACCUCCAGUUCUGCUGCUGCCAUUCGUGACAUAUUCACUGAACCUUCCUUCUGUAAAAUGGAGAUAGUAACAUUUUAGCCUUUGUAGGAUCCUUGUGGAGAUUGAAUAAGACGAUGUGUGUAAAUCAUCCAGCACAGGGCCUGGCAAUCUUAGGUACUGCGAUAAGUGAAGUCAUUAUUUUAAUUCUGGUGCCAAGGGACCUUGCAGCAUUCAUUUCUUUCUUGUGCCCAGCAUCAAAAUGCUCUACCUUUGCGUGACUUCUCCAAAGGAACACACACGCCUGUCCCACUGGAGAAGGUGUUAAGUGAUACAGAUUCUUGGCUUCGCUAUCUUUUAAAAUAUCCUGUGGCUGGGCAAAAAGGCUCUCUUGGUGACCCACUGGUCACUGUUUAAAUCAGUGCUGCUUUUGUGACAUCGCUGGAGACAGAGGAGGGACACCUGACUGUUGACUGGGAAGCAGACACGUGAAGGGCCUUGUAAUGAUGUCCACCUGAACACGAUGAUCCAGAACAGCUGUGGUGUCUCGGCAGCUCGCCCUUUGCAAGGUUGGAAAGGAGUGGGUGUGGCCACAGGUCCUAUGCUCUUGUUGUGCACGGUUAUGGGCCAGGAACGCUCACUUGGCAAUGAAUACAUUGUCACCGAACUUGCCGUACGUGGGGGCUACUCUGUCAAGGUGAAGGCCCCAGGCAGGCCCCCGAGCAGUCUGAGAAGCCUUAUGUGGGGUUCCCCAAAGGAAUUUCACGGCGCACUCCACAGCGAGAAGUAAGCAUCUUCUUACUUAACAAAACAAAAGUUGAUGGACACAGACGGAGAGUCCCACACUGGUGUAUCCGUGGUACAAAGAUGUGAGAUUGGGAACAAAGAAAGAAGCAGACCACAAUGGGUGGCAGCACGUACCGAUAUUAAAAGGACCAGCAAAUAGUGCAAAAAUGAAAACCAACCAUCAUUGAGAACAGCCCUACACAGGUCAGGGAAGCAUCAGUGACUUUAUGAAAUCUUCUCCCUAUUUGCACAAUUCUUGCAAGUAAUCCAGAAAUCCGGGCCAGUAUGAAUCAUCAAUCUUCACCUCAUGAGAAGAAGCAUCUCUCCAAGGCCGAGAGCAUAGACAUGACUAUAGAACACAGUGGAA